rnacentral:misc_RNA from 1 species
UUUCACUCAACUGCUAGAACGAGGCUUUAGGCUCCAACGCUUCCGGUUAAGCCUACCGUGAUUUAGCGAAUAACUUCAGCAAAGUCCGCGGACAGGUAUAUCGACAGAGCACGAACUAAUAUCCUGUCCUUGGGAACACCGAUCGACCUUUUUUCUUAUUGGGUCAGGGUUAGGGUUACUUACUAGGUCAGAGUUCAGUAGUUUUUGUAUCAGACCAUAUUCUGACUUAUCCCUGUCCUCUCAUUUACAUAAAGAAGAGUUUUCUUUACCUUAGAAACUCUGUUACACAUUACCUAAUCUUACAGCAGCCCUCCCGCAUUGCAACACAUUCUUCGACACCUAUUUCAGAGUUCAUGGGGUCAGGACUACUUUCGUCCACUUGAGGGGAGUAUGUAGGUCAAGCGCAAGGUCAUGAACCCUCCAACCACAUGGUUGACGGACAGCAAAGAGUAGUUGACUGAAUCACAGCUGCGGUCAGUAACAGCGAUCAUCAUAUCGGACUCCUUUGUUGCCUCUCCUGUUUCCUAACAGACGCCCACAACGGGCGUAGAUCGCGUCUGCUGGAGAGAGAAGGAUGACUCACUUUGUCGCAAAGGUCCCUCGGUUGUCUGUCUACUUAUAACCGUGGAAAGAAGAACAAAAGAAACCUUGACUUUGGGCAAACAAGACCCCGGGUGCAAUCUUUGUUUCGCCCAGCUAACGUGGAUCACAGCUCACAACACUUCUGUCCAGCAGUCUCGACCAUCAAAAGCUCGCCGGCAUGGAGUGUUCUGAGUGCAAAGGGCGAUUACGAGAACCCAAGGUGUUCUGCUGCACCAGGCUGUGCAAGCGUGUCUUCAGAAGCACAUCGACAGUUCCGGCGAGAGGGCAGUCACGUGCCUGGUCUGCCGCGCAUGCGUGACGGUGCCGGACAAAGAGCGUCCCAAAGACACUGGGCUGAGCAGUUCCGCACCGAUGGCUUCCUGCUGCGCUUGCAGGGGGCAGGGGGUCAGAUGUCGCGGAAACACGACUGUUUCGUGUGCGCAGGCUCCCGCCAUGAGAGCAAGGAGGCCACCGUCUACUGCUUCGACUGCGACAACUACUUCUGCGGCGCCUGCAACCAGGUGCACCUGCAGCUGCGGGGAUUCGACUCCCACUCCACGGGCGUGCUGGAGGAGUUGCUCCUGAAGGACAUGAUGACAAGACGGCGCGCCUUCUGCUCCGUGCACACCAGCAGUCCACGUGGACAGCUUCUGCAGCGAGUGCAACGCGCUGCUGUGCAAAAACUGCGUGCACGAGAAGCACCUGAACUGCCUCGUGCAGCCCAUGUCAAAGAUCGCGAAAGAAAAGCGACAGAUGCUUGUGAUCUGAAGAAGAAGUUGGAGCAGGUCAUCAAACGAGUGGAAGAUGAAAAUGAAGACCUGCAAGACAGAGAGACCUGGAUGAUGACAUGUGCUCAGCAACGACGAGAAGAGAUAGAGCUGGCCUUCAGUCGCAUCGAAGCUGCUGUCGCAGAAAGGAAAGCUCGUCUCCUUGCAGAAGUCGAAGACAACAUUUCUAAUCACAAAGAAUGUCACCUGAAAGGAGAACCAUUCCAGACUUUGGUUGGCACCUUAAAGAGAAACUGUGCGCUGGCUGAUGAAAUACUGGGUUGUGGAUCUGACUUUGACAUCUUGGAAUCUGCCGACGAUUUGGCGCGCCAGUGCCGCUCGCUCCACAAGAUGAGCCAGAAGGAAUCAACGUUGGGUGCUGACAUCCGAAGAACAAAAUCGCCCGUGGAUUCCUUGUCAGUCAACACGUUAAUCACAAUGAUCGGGCACUGGGCAAUAAUAAGAUUGACCAGCUAGUGGCCUUCAAGACUAGGGAGGUGCCUGUUGUCAUGCGCGAGGACAAAGCAUCGCCCAAAAUCGCGAAAAUCCUGGUGGUCGACAGCAGCAUCCUUCUUGUAGCGGACAGCGCCAACAGGUGCAUCAAGUCCGUGGUGUCGCUGCCAGGUGAGAGGGACUGCCGGCUACACCGCUUGGACCUGGACACCCGACCACGAGGGUUGACGCUGCUGAAGACCCACAUUCGCAGUCGUGUCUGGUCGCCAGAGUCUGCACAUCAUCACCAUCACGGAUGAGCAGCUUUCCAUUAAGGUCACAGUUUCAACCCAACAGGACUACUGGGAUAUCGCGUCCGUCAACUCCAUCAACGUGGCCGCUGUCUGCAAGCAGCCGCCCUGCAUCGACAUCAUCGACAUCGCCGGCACCCGCCUCCGCACCGUUGAGCCGGUCGUGUCGGGCGUGAUGUUGUUCAAGCAGCCAUCGGUCGUCGCCGCUGGACCAAACGGUACAAUCUUCGUGACUGACCGCGAGAACAAGACUCUCGCGUGUCUCGACCUCCAGGGUCGCGUACGCUUUGUGUAUCGAGGCGACGAACGAGAAGAACUAACAGAUCCCCGAGGCGCAUGCGUGGACGAAAGAGGCUGCGUGUUUCUGUUGGACUCGAACGACGUAUAUGUCAUCUCCUCCCAAGGGAAGCAAAUGUCCAAGGUUCUGUCCGGGCUUCUCAAGCCAAAGACGAUAAGCGUCGGCGCGGACAAUGUUAUGGCCGUAGCGAUGGAAGAACAAGGGAUCGUGCUUUUUGCCCUGAAUGAUAUGAAAGGCUCACAUGUCUGAAAACCCACUCUUUGGCACUCAUAUAAGUUGAAAAUGAAACGAUUGCCAACGACUUACUUCCCAAGUUUGAUUUACAUAAAUGUGUUUGUUCAGAGGCUAUGAUACCAUGCAAACUGCUCGGCUUUCAAGAUUAAGCAACUGUUAUUAUUUUUACCCUGAAUAUAUCUGGUGACCUCUCUCACUCUCAGCCACUAAAAUCGCUUCUAAAUUUUUCAAUAAAAGGCACAUUUCUUUUUUUGUGUGUGAAAAAGCGAAACUUU